rnacentral:rRNA from 1 species
GAUGAACGCUGGCGGCGUGCCUAACACAUGCAAGUUGAGCGUGAAGUUUAUAUUGAUUCUUCGGAUGAUUUAUAAAUGGAAAGCAGCGGACGGGUGAGUAACGCGUGGAUAACCUGCCCUAUACUCCAGGAUAACAUACCGAAAGGUAUGCUAAUACUGGAUAAUAUACAUUAGUCGCAUGGCUUCUGUAUCAAAGAUUACGGUAUAGGAUGGAUCCGCGUUCCAUUAGCUAGUUGGUGGGGUAAAGGCCUACCAAGGCGACGAUGGAUAGCCGACCUGAGAGGGUGAUCGGCCACACUGGAACUGAGACACGGUCCAGACUCCUACGGGAGGCAGCAGUGGGGAAUAUUGCACAAUGGGCGAAAGCCUGAUGCAGCAACGCCGCGUGAGCGAUGAAGGCCUUCGGGUCGUAAAGCUCUGUCCUAAAGGAAGAAUUUUGACGGUACUUUAGGAGGAAGCCCCGGCUAAUUACGUGCCAGCAGCCGCGGUAAUACGUAAGGGGCUAGCGUUAUCCGGAAUUACUGGGCCGUAAAGGGUACGUAGGCGGUUUAUUAAGUCAGGGUGAAAGGCUACGGCUCA